rnacentral:rRNA from 1 species
CCUACGGGAGGCAGCAGUGAGGAAUAUUGGUCAAUGGACGAGAGUCUGAACCAGCCAAGUAGCGUGAAGGAUGACUGCCCUAUGGGUUGUAAACUUCUUUUAUAGGGGAAUAAACUGUUCCACGUGUGGGCUUUUGUAUGUACCUUAUGAAUAAGGAUCGGCUAACUCCGUGCCAGCAGCCGCGCUAAUACGGAGGGUCCGAGCGUUGUCCGGAUUUAUUGGGUUUAAAGGGAGCGUAGGUGGGUUGUUAAGUCAGUUGUGAAAGUUUGCGGCUCAACCGUAGAAUUGCAGUUGAAACUGGCAGUCUUGAGUACAGUAGAGGUGGGCGGAAUUCGUGGUGUAGCGGUGAAAUGCUUAGAUAUCACGAAGAACUCCGAUUGCGAAGGCAGCUCACUGGACUGCAACUGACACUGAGGCUCGAAAGUGUGGGUAUCAAACAGGAUUAGAUACCCCAGUAGUC